rnacentral:rRNA from 1 species
AGCGGCGGACGGGUGAGUAAUGCCUAGGAAUCUGCCUGGUAGUGGGGGAUAACGCUCGGAAACGGACGCUAAUACCGCAUACGUCCUACGGGAGAAAGCAGGGGACCUUCGGGCCUUGCGCUAUCAGAUGAGCCUAGGUCGGAUUAGCUAGUUGGUGAGGUAAUGGCUCACCAAGGCGACGAUCCGUAACUGGUCUGAGAGGAUGAUCAGUCACACUGGAACUGAGACACGGUCCAGACUCCUACGGGAGGCAGCAGUGGGGAAUAUUGGACAAUGGGCGAAAGCCUGAUCCAGCCAUGCCGCGUGUGUGAAGAAGGUCUUCGGAUUGUAAAGCACUUUAAGUUGGGAGGAAGGGCAGUUACCUAAUACGUAUCUGUUUUGACGUUACCGACAGAAUAAGCACCGGCUAACUCUGUGCCAGCAGCCGCGGUAAUACAGAGGGUGCAAGCGUUAAUCGGAAUUACUGGGCGUAAAGCGCGCGUAGGUGGUUCGUUAAGUUGGAUGUGAAAUCCCCGGNCUCAACCUGGGAACUGCAUCCAAAACUGGCGAGCUAGAGUAUGGUAGAGGGUGGUGGAAUUUCCUGUGUAGCGGUGAAAUGCGUAGAUAUAGGAAGGAACACCAGUGGCGGAAGGCGACCACCUGGACUGAUACUGACACUGAGGUGCGAAAAGCGUGGGGGAGCAAAACAGGAUUUAGAUACCUCUUG